GUAGGGAAUCUUGCGCAAUGGGCGAAAGCCUGACGCAGCCAUGCCGCGUGAAUGAUGAAGGUCUUAGGAUUGUAAAAUUCUUUCACCGGGGACGAUAAUGACGGUACCCGGAGAAGAAGCCCCGGCUAACUUCGUGCCAGCAGCCGCGGUAAUACGAAGGGGGCUAGCGUUGCUCGGAAUUACUGGGCGUAAAGGGAGCGUAGGCGGAUAGUUUAGUCAGAGGUGAAAGCCCAGGGCUCAACCUUGGAAUUGCCUUUGAUACUGGCUAUCUUGAGUAUGGAAGAGGUAUGUGGAACUCCGAGUGUAGAGGUGAAAUUCGUAGAUAUUCGGAAGAACACCAGUGGCGAAGGCGACAUACUGGUCCAUUACUGACGCUGAGGCUCGAAAGCGUGGGGAGCAAACAGGAUUAGAAACCCGAGUAGUCC
rnacentral:rRNA from 1 species